CUUUUGACACCUGCAUCAUCAAUGUAAACAAUUUGGUACAUAAAACUGUAAGACUUAUUAUUACCGUUCAGAGGUAGCCGAGUUAAAUGGCAACAAAUUGCAAAUAUAUGUAUGGGAAAUAGAAAGUGAUAUUGAGGAGAGAAAGAGGAAGAAUUGCAUGUUGGGAAUGAGCAUCCAGUGGACAAGAAGAAAAUUCAAGAAAAUUAGUCAUCAAAAUAGAAAAAUAAAUAAACAAAAUAUAUAGAUGACGGUGACUCACUGUAGUCUUGCUGGGUUAUUCUUUGUCCCCUGUUGACACUCAAAAAAAAUAAAAAAAAGAGCAACAGGGGACAACUGGAACUAGCUGCAUUCACUCCAUACUUUGAAGUCUUUGAUAUAAUACCUAGAGUUCCAUCCUCUUUGAGAACCUGCAUCAUAAAUGUAAAAAUUUAAUAACCAGAUGACAAGACACUGGAUAGUAGCUAUGAUGACAUCUAAUAAGUUGAACUAAAAAAAUCAUGGCUGCACAGGGGAAUUGAUAAAGCCAUCUAAUUACCAUAGCAAUCGAACUUUAAUAAACUGCAUUUGCUUCUAGUAUAGCCUCCUCUGUAUGUCAGCCUGAACUCUAUUCUGGAAAUCAGAAAAUUAUACUUAAAAAAUGCAAUUGAAUAGUACAACUGAUGGAAUAAAAAUCAGAAGACAUUGCUAACCAGUGGCUAUUGCUAAAUAUUCCACCUGCCCUUGAAUGGCAUAAAUGGAUCCUCUCUUAUCCUUUUUAUCGUUGUAAGUAUCACAUAUCACCUCUUCAACUUCAAUGGUCACUGAGAACUAAAAAGAACAAAGGAAAAAGGAAAAGUGUGUACCCCAUGGAGAUUAUGGACAAGAUUUACUAAAUAGAAUUGGAGAGGCAGAGGCAGUGAUGCAUACCUAGAAUUGUGUCAAAUUGAAGAGAAAACCAAGCUACAAGCCAUUUCAAAAGCCACUUCCUAGGCAAAUUUUUAACAAAAAGUCUAGUAAGAAACGUACAAGUAAUCAAUUGGGGAAAUUGCUAUAAUGUAUAUGAGAGAUUGAACGCGGUAUUGAGGAGUGAAAGAUAAAGAACAGGCGUACCUUGUUUAAUGUAAAGAUGGGAGAGGGUUGAAUGGUGUUUGCUUCUAUGUUCUGCAAUCCCUCAACUUAUUAUUGCUCAAAGACGUUUUUAUCAUCUAUUUCCACAUAGGGAAUGUGGGCGAUGUUGGGCCAAUCUUGCCCUUUCCCUUUCGAGCACCUUUGUUUUAGGAGCGGGCAGUCUGUGAUAUAUAGUCGUGAAAGCGUGUCAGGCAGCCCUUCCCUUGGGCAAAACGACUGAAGCUUAGGGCAACGUUGGAUCCAUAGAUCUUCAAGUGAGGUGAGGGUUUGGAGAGCCAGGGAGGAUAGAGAUUUCAGAUUCUGGAAAUCUUGAAUGGAAAGAAAGGUGAGGGUUGUAGGAAGAAUCGGUGGUCUUUGACCAUCUGAAAAGGAGGCAACUCGUGGAAAUAUGCCACCAAUGGUGAGUUCUUUAAGAGAGGUAAGUGUGGCAAGGCCCCAUCGGGAUAGGGGCAUCUUGAUAUUCUCACAACGGUAGAUACCAAGUGAUGUAAGAGCAGUGAGGUUUUGCAGUUGAUGAGGUAGCAGCUCCACAUUCUCACAAUUAUUAAUCUCCAGUUCUCUGAGUUUGUAGAGGCAAUCUGGUACAAUUUUGAGACAGGGAUACGACCGGAUACUCAAAUAUUCAAGUGAACUAUUAUUGGAGUGAAACGUCUCCUUUGAAAUCGACUCCAGUUGUGCACAAUCCCAAAUCUCAAGUUUCUUAAGGGUGGAGGGAAACUUGCCUGUGGGGAAGAAUGUGAGAGAUGGACAUUUCCAAAUGUCCAAGACAUGAAGACCACCACUGGUGGCGGUGGUGGUGUUGGAAUCAUGGUGCAUCAUUCCCCCCGGUAGAGACUCUAGCUUUUCACACCUCCAUAUCUUGAGUUCCUUGAGCGUGGUGGGUAACUCACCUUCUGGAAAACCAAUGAGAGAUGGACACGUAUGUAUGUGCAAGUAUUCAAGGAGACACACGUCGCUACCGUUAUUACUACCGUCUUUCAUCACCAUCAUCCAAUCAGGUAGACAUCGUAGACCUUCACAACUAUGAAUAACAAGACGUCUAAGCAUGGGCGGGAACCCCAACUCUGGAAAUGACACCAGCUUUGGACAAUCAUAGAUUUCCAACUCUCCAAGACAUGUUAGCCUGUACAGUCCAUUGGGAAGCUUCUCUAGGUUAUUACACCACCUAAUUUUCAAAGAUUGAAGCUUGCUAGGCAGCUCGUGCUUUUCCUUUUCUCCCAAGGAUACAAGCUCGGGACAACUGCUAGUUUGCAACUGCUGAAUACCAUCAAAUCCAUUUUCCCACAAACACGUCAAUUUAUCACAUCUAUCAAUGUCUAAAACUUGAAGCCCCGACAACAAUUGCAUACAACCUUCAUGUAAUCUGGUGAGCCCUACCAUUCUAUCAAUUCCUAACUCGGUGAGUGAAGGCAAUUCCAAUCCACUCCUUAGUACCGCCUCAUUGCAAUCUUGUACUCUUAAUUUAGAAAGAGAUGGAAGCCUUUCAAGUGGAGACACCAACUGUGGGCAUGUCCCAAUGGAGAAAUGUACAAGGGACGGUAGGUUAGUGGGUAGUUUCUUGAUUAAUUUGGGGCAAUUUAUGAUUUCAAGGUGAAGGAGACAAGGAUAUGGCUCUGAUAAAGAUGGACUCUCCCAAUCUUCCCAUUGUGACAUAGCCGAAAAAGAUAGAGACUCUAAGGACGGGAAAGGCUUAUUGGGAAGACAAGUCUCUCCAUAAAACUCUCUACCCACAAUUUUUACUUCUUUUAACCCUUCAAUCCUUACGUGUUUGAGCAUGGGUAACCACCCCAAACACGGUAAAGAUGUGCAAUUUCUGCAAUUCACCAGAUUUACAUCCACCAUCUUCGAGAAUGAAACAUCUCCUAUCCAAGGGGGAAAUUCUGGACCACCAUAAUACUCAAUUUUUAGUUUGUUCAAAUUGAAGUGUGGCUGUAAAGAGUCAAGUACAUCUUUUUGAUUCCUUGCAUUGUGUGAAUCAUUCAACCCAGCACUCCACUCUAUCGUCAAUUCUUCAAGCUUCUGCUUCUUGUUUAGACUAGCAUCCCUUGCAUCUUGAACAUUUGCUACAUUUUCCAACUUUGAAAUGCAAAGUCCCCCUUGAAGUUGGGGCAUAUUCCUUAACUCCUUUACAUUCAAACCAUUGUCUUUACCCACAAUAAAAUUAGACAAUACUUGUAAGCCUUUUAAUUUGCAAAUUCGUGGAGGCAUUUCUUCUAGAUUUGUAUUGGUCACAUCAAGGUGUCGAAGAUUAUUUAGGUUUCCAAUGCUCAAAGGCAACCUAAUAAGCUUCCGACAAUUUGAUAAUAUUAAUGUCUCUAAGUUAUGGAGGUUACCCAGUGAAUCAGGUAAUCGUUUGACUUUUGUUCUGGAUAAAUUAAGAUACCUAAGGUGUUUCAAAUCACCAACUGAACUUGGUAUCUCACUUAUCCGAUAACCACUCAAUAAAAGCACCCUUAGGCGUCGUAGCUUGGGCAUCAAUCCCUCAAGUACCUUGUUGCUUAACCAAUUAUAAUCCCAUAAUGGAUCAAUUGGUAAUGCAAUAAACGUACGCAAAUUCUCCAUCCCAUAAAAGGCUUCAAACUUUUUGAAGAUAUCGUAUCGGUCACGAAUGAAUGAUGAAUGACGAGCCUUUUUAGAAAUAGUCUGCUGCUGAUUACCUUCCAAAUUCUUUUCCAGAGAAAAACAUAUUUCUCCACCAACAAAUUUUGCUAAAUCGUUAACGAGAUCAUGCAUUACGAAUUGGGAUUUAUUGCUACUUGAUGGUUGAAAAAAUGAUCGAGACAACAAUUCCUGGAAGUAGUUAGCGCCUAAAUCUUCAAUUUCGAUUUGUUGCCUAUGACAUUCUAAGUGUUGAAUUAGACUCUCUGCCAUCCAUAAGCGAAUCAGUUCUCUCUUAUCAAAUUCAUAGUCUUUCGGAAAUAUUGCACAAUAACUGAAACAUCUCUUCAGUGGAGAGGGGAGGUGAUUAUAACUUAAUCUUAAUGCAGGAAGAAUACCGCAUUUAUCACUCGGUAAAUCCCAUAUUUUGCUAGUCAAAAUAACAUUCCACUCAUGUUCUCUCUGUUCAUGGCGUAGAAGACUACCGAGUGCUGUUGCUGCCAAAGGCAAGCCUCCACACUUUUUUACAAUUUCCUUGCCGAUCAAUGCCAAAUUGGAAUGCUCAUCAAUGUUGCUAUUUCCAAAUGCAUGUUUCUUGAACACCGACCAACACUCAUUAUCUGAUAAAUUUUGUAGCUCGUGCAAGUUCUUAUCUCCUUCCAUUAUAUUUGCGACCUUCUUACUCCGUGUCGUGACUAUGAUUUUGCUGCCUCGUGAACCCGACAAAAAGGGAGACUGUAAGCAACGCCAAUCAUUAUAGUUGUCAUUCCACAUAUCAUCGAGAACCAGAAGAAAUUUUUUUCCCUUCAAUUCCUCCCCCAAUUUAUCUUGAAUUUGAUGGAAGUCUAGUGAAUCAGUAUUGCUCUGAGAAGUACUGACCGAGUUGAGGAUUGUCUUGGUUAUUCUCACUGCAUCGAACUGAUCUGAUACACAAACCCAGGCCUUUAGAUCAAAAUGCUUGGCUGUCUCAGGAUGAUCGUACACCAACCUUGCUAGUGUGGUCUUGCCCAUACCACCCAUGGCCACGAUGGAAACUACAGAAACAUUGGUUUCAAUGGGCUCAUCCCUAAGCAGCAUAUCCAUUAUAAUCUGUUUAUCAGCAUCCCUGCCAUAAACCCAAGGUUCGUAUACCAGAGAUGUAGUGAGUGGCCUUUCCCAAGUAGACUGGGUUAUAGCAGCCACCUUGUCCAAACCAAGCCCAGCCUUUUGGGCAUAUAUAGCUUCUAAUCGGGUGGUAAUGUCCUUUAUCUCGCACCCCAUCUUAACAUUACGCAUACAACCAAUAGGAGUGAAAGUAGUACAACAAGUAGGGAUAAACUUGCGUACCUUGCUUGUGCUGCCUUCACCAUCAGCUUCCGCCAUCACCUUUCUUCUUAAAGCUUCGUAGGCAAACUCGUCCAAGAUGUCCUCCAUGUCAUAAACCAAAUCCCUCAGAUCGCCCAGCCACGUUUUCACCGACUGCUUCGUGAUCUGCUUCUCCUCCGCGUCAUUCAGCACUUCAUCAAUCUCCAAUAAUUUUUUCUCCCAUAUUUCGAGCUCGGCGCGGAUUUUCUCUUGGCGUGCAAACUUGAGAUCAGGGGAGCGCAGUUGGUUAAACAAAGCUUGAAGGGAGUAAGAAAGAACAACCUCUGCAACAACUUCCAUGGUUCGUUGGUAGGGAAAGAGAGAGGUAGGAUACCAAGUGGAAACAAGAGAAUAAAAAACAAUUGGUUUGCUCUAUCAAGGCUUCCCCAAUUAUCAAAGACAGUGGACUCUGCUCCUUCAGAGUGGUGGGGCUCACACGUAAAGAAGAAGAAACUAAGGGAAAAGAAGGAAUCCAAGGCAACUGGUGCUAAGUGGAGCCAUUGGAGAGAUAAUUAUUCAAGUCUUGGACCACUCUCCAAUUUCCCACUACACUGGUUUUAGGGGUGGGUGACAUACUCACAUGAAGUGACAGAAAGCAGGGCCCUCUAAUUCAAAGUUUAUUUUACUAUUAAAUAAAUAAAUAAAAAAGUCAUUUUCUUAAAACCCUUCUACAAUUUUCUGACAAAGCAAAUGACUUCUGUAAGCAGGAUACCAUUCUUGUGAAUGGGAAAAGGAAGAAGGUUGAAGGAAGAAGAGUAAACAAGUUUUCCCUUUAUUUUAUAUAGAUUGGUGAUUAGGCUGAAGUAGAGAUACCUUGCUACCUCGCUGCAUCUUCAAACGAUAAUGUUGAUUAAAGAUGAAUUGAAAGCCAUGCUUUGCCUGCGAAGUUUGAUUAGAGAGGAAUCUCUAAAUCAAAUUUUGUGAAACAAUUGGUUUGCUUGCUGUAUCAAGGCUUAGCCAAUUAUCAAAGACUGAAGGUAAGAGAUAAGGAGUUGAAGGCAACAGCUGGCAAGCUGGCAAGUGGAUCCAUUGGACAUGAUUUGAUUAUUCAAGUCUUGGACCACCCUGCAAUUUUCCACACCGCACUGGGUGGUGGGUCAGAGAGUUAAGGAUAACGUCAGAAAACCAAACAUGAAGCGACGGAAAGCAGGGCCCCUGUACGAAAAUAUUACUCUGCAACAAUCAAAAUAAUCAAAGAAUCAUGCAUUGAAAAAUUGCAAGCUAAUGUUGUUAAAUUUUAAAAAAUAUGAAUUCAGAAAUUAUUUGUAAAUAUUUAGAAAUUGCUAAUGUUGGCUUUAGUUCAAUUUCACAAAAAUAGAAUCAUGCAUUGAAAAAUUGAUUUGAAGUUGAAGUUUUACAAUUUCCUUAUUUAUUUUCUAGGAGUUCAUAUAGGAAUAAGUUACAAAUACAUGGGAGGAACUUACAAAGAUGUAAACAAGUAAUUAGGUUAAGGACUCCACUUCCAAGCAGGCCAUGUGCUUUUAAGGAUAGAAAAAAAAUUGUUUAACACAUUAAUAAGAACAAAUAAUUUAAUGUUUAAGAAUAUUAAAAUAUGAAUAAAAAUAAACAAUUUAAUCUUAGCCAGAUUGUGUUCUAUUUAAAAUUCAAUAAAAAUCUAUUUAAAUUUAAGAUAGAGAAACAAACUAGAUAUAAUUUUUUCACUUCUUAUAUUUUAAAAUAUUUUUUAAUUAAGCAUUCUUAAUAAUAUUUUUAUUUCUUAUAAAAAAAGUUAUAAUUAUUUCAUGGAUGAUUAUUAACUUUUUUUUUUAAGAGAAAGAUAUAUCGUUGAAAUAGUUUUUAAGAAAAGACAAUGAAAUAGAAUCUGAAAGUUGAAUUAUUGAAAAUAUUGUAACCUCUAAAGAUAAAAUGAAAAUACUAAAACAUUGAGUGAUGAAAUUUAGGUUAUUGAAUAAAAAUAUAAAUAAAUUAGAUCAAAAUAUAAAAAUACAAAUAAUCGAGACAUAUGUGAUGCGUGAGACAUGCUAAAUAAAAAAUUUUGCUCCCACAAUUUCUAUAAUAUUAAAAGAAAGUCAAUUUUUUAAUAAUCUCUUUCCAUCUUUUGGUACACGCAAUAGAAUAAAAUAUAACCAUAAUUCUAUACAUUUCUUUCACGGGAAAAAAAGAAGGAAAAAACUUGGGGUGCUGGCACAUUGGGUGUCCACAAGUGGACCUUGUAUUCAAUUAUUGGUAAGAGAUGGCCCGGAUAGGUGGCAAUUAUUGGGGCUCUUUUACUUAAUAGAAUAGAUUUAUAAAAUAAUUUUAAAAAUGACUUCAAAAAGUAUAUUGAAGUCUAUGAUAAUUGUUAAAUGUUGUCGAUUUGAUUUUACUUCUAAUAAGAAAUCUUUUUUAUUUUAGUAUGGAAACUUUUUAAAACAGUGAUUUACUUCCAUUGAUUUAAUGAUAUUAUUAAAUUAAAUUUAAAAAGAUUUGUUAAAAGUAAGUUUUUUUAUUAAGGUAGAGUUGGAUUCGAAGUUUUAAAAUUAAGUUAAAAUAUCUUAAUUAAUUUUUGACAAUUUUGAGGUUUUAUUUUAAAAAAAUUUCUUAAUUAAUUUAUAGAAAAUUAAUAUUUUACUUUUUAAACAAAAAUUAUUUUGUUAAUUAAUUUUUGAAAAUUUGAUUUUUUUUUUUUAAGAAAUUCAAUUUCAAACCAUCUAGGCUCUUAGGCCUAUAUAUAUUAUCUAAAUGUGUUUUUGGGUUGGAUGCUUUAAUAAAAUUAACCUCAACUUGCUCUAUCAUUCAUAAACUCUCAACAAAGAAUUCACUAAUCAAAUCCCAUAGUUUUUUAUUUCCAUAAUUAAUAUGAUGAUUUUCCACAUAAAAUUGAUUGUCUUGUAUGUAAUUGUGAUUUUAUUAUUUAUAUGGAUAUGUGAAAUUGACAAUAUUGCCCCUAGCCUCAAGCAUAGGGUGUUACAAACAUCCUUAUUUAUCGACUCUCAACAUGAUUAUACUUUUCAUAGUAACUUAGCAUGAAAAUCUUUCAAUUGUCAUAUUCUAACAUUAUCUAUAAGUUUCUUGAGUAUUGAAAUUGACAAUGCUUUUGUGAAUAAGUUUGUUAAAUUAUCAUUUGAUACUUUCUGAAUACUAAUUUUAUUACUCUUGUGGAGUUUAUGAAUAUAAAAGAACUUGAAUGAUAUAUGGUUACUUUAGUUUGAGUUUUCCUCUUUUUAUCAUUAUGGCCUAUAUGAUUCUUAUUGAUCUAAAAAUUAAAUUUAAAAAAUUAGGCAAGAGAUUAACCUACUUACAAUUUAUUAAGCCUGAGUCACUAAAAUUAGUCAAUUAAAUUAGUUUGUUAUCUUUUUCUUUUUAUAAUAAUAGUUGGCAAGGUUCUUAUCUAUAUCAAGAUUAACUUAACUAUUAGGUAAGGCUUAAGAGAACUUACUUGCAAUUAUUAAAUUUGAGUUAAUAAAAUUAAUCAAUAGAAUUAACUCGUCGUCUUUUUGUUUUUAUAAUUGUGGCCGACUUAGUUCUUAUCAAUAUGAAGAUUAAAUUAAAAGAUUAGGUAACGGCACCCACUUGCAAUUUAUUAAACUCGAUUAAGCAAAAGUAGCUUCACUUAUUUCUCUUUUUAUGAUUAUGGUCAGCAAGGUUCUCAUCAACAUCAAGAUUAAUUUAAAAGAUUAUGUAAGGGAACCUAUUUGCAACUUGUUAAAUUUGACUCAUUCAAAAGGUUAGUCAAGCAAAUACACUUGCAAUAAUUUACAAUCAAAAUCCACUUUAAAAUAAUAAAUAUAAGCUAUCUUUUUUUGGUUGCAUUGAACUUAUUGAUAAUUAGAUUUAAACAUAAUUAAUAUAAUUAUUUAAGUAUUAAUUAAGUUUUCAAAACUAAUUAAAAUUUAAACAUCACUAAUUAAAUGAAAUAGUAUAAAAUUUAAUUAAUUAUUAUAUAUAUAAAAUAAACUUUAAUUAUCUAAUUAAAAUUAUUAAAUACUUAAGUAUUACCAUGCCUAAGAAUUAAAAGAACUUUUCAUUUUUUCAAGGCAUAAAAAAAUAACAAAGGAAAAAUCUUGAUUCAAAUAAAUAAAUAAUUCCAUGGAAAAUAUAGAAAUGAAAAUAAUAUUUAUAUUGUGUAAUACUAUAUUGCAGUAGUCUACAAUUUAUCAGUCUUAUUUGGAUUGAUUUUUAAGAAGUCAAAAGUUCUUUUAUAAGCUCAAGAAGGACUUCUAUGUCUCUUUAAUUAAUUUUAUUUGAAUGGCUAAUGGUUUAAAAAGAAGAUAUGAAAACUACAUAUAUUUUUUUUUAUACUUUUUAUAAAGGUGCAUAGCACCUCAUGCUAAUAAUUUUGUAUAACAAAAUAAAUAUUUCAAAGGCACCUCCAAUUACCUAGAAAAUGAAUUUUCAAUUUAUCAAAUACUUAAUUUUUGUAACAAAGAUGUUUUUGAGCAUUAUCGAACAUUUCUAACUUUUCUAAAAUCAUGACCAAAUGACUCAUAAUCUUUUCGAAUACUAAAACAUUCAUCAAAUUAUUUUGUUAUGAGCUUUUUAUUUUAAUUAAAAGGUUAAAAUAAACACUAACUUUAUUAAUUUUAUGUUCCAAAAUAAGUUUCUUUGAAAGCUUGUAAUGUAAAUUGAUUAAUGAAUUUCAGUUAUGAAUGAUCUCGGGGAGUUUGAAUUAGAAAUUUUGAGAUAACACUUUUUUUUAAUUGUUUAUGAUUAAAUAUGUAUCAAAUAAACGUACAAAACUGAAAAGACUUUAGAGGGUGAUGAUAAAUCAAUUUAAUGACUUAAUUUAAGUUAUUAAAUAUAUUAAGCAUGUUUGAUAAAAUAAUAAAGUUAAAAAUGAUUAUGAGAAAUCAUCUUAACAAUUAAGACUCCAUGACUUAAAUACAAUUAAUUUAACUUAAAGUCAUCUUACCCCGAUAAAUAUCAAGUUUUACCAAAAUUGUUGUUAAUGAUCUCAAUAAUUUUUUAUUUUCUUUCUAAAUAAAAUUAUUUUCAUUUAUUUAUUAAUGGAUUAUGGAGAAUAACCAUCCUCUCCCCAUCCUCUUUUUAAAUUGCAUACCAAAAGUUAGAUAGAGAUUCAAAAAGGAUCCAUAAAUGCAAGUGAUGGAAGGAGCAAUUAAUUUGUUUUAUUAUUCACCAUUUUUCAAAUUCCAUUUUCUGUGAAUACCCCUCCUACCUAAAUGACUUUUAAACAAAAACUUUGAUCAUGUUUUCUAUGCUUGUUUUUAAAAAUUAUUUUUAGUGUUUUAUAGAAAUAAAGGUGUUUGACAAAUUAUUUUUUAAACCAGUUUUUAAAAAUAAAAAAUAAAAAUUUUGUUUGAAUAAAUUAUUUAAUUUUUUUUUUAUUUUGUAAAAAUAUUAUAAAUUCAAUUUAUAUAACGUGAAUUAAACAAAAAUCUUUUUAUUACGUUUCCUUCCUUAGGUUAUAUUUGGUUUUCAAAAUUUUGAAGGAAAGAACAUAAAUAAAAAAUAAACUUUGCUGUAGUAAAUUUUCUCUUCCUUUUAAUUAAAAAAAAUAUUAAGAAAUCAAAAUCUUAGCUGGAUCAUUGGAGUCAGCGUGGGACUUCCAGGCUGGCCCGUGUGCAUGCCAUUAUUUAUUUAUUUUUGUAAUUUCAAAGCAUAUUAUUUUUAUUUUCAAUAUUUUAAGACUGGCGCAUUUUUCAAGCUUAAGAUUCUCUUUAUAAUUAUGGACCUAUGGUUGUUGGUUGUAUCAAGAUUAAUUUAAAUGUUAGAUAAGACUUAACACAAUUUACUAGCAAUUUAUUAAAUUUGAUUUGAUAAAAUUAGACAAUAGAAUUAGCCUGUCAUCUUUUUCAUUUUAUAAUUAUGGCCGGCUUGGUUCUUAUAAAUAUGAAGAUUAAAUUAAAAGAUUAGGUAAUGACACCCACUUACAAUUCAUUAAACUCGAUUUAGUAAAACUAGCUUAUAAAAUUAGCUUGACUUUUUUGUUUUUUAUAAUUAUGGUCGACAAGCUUUUUCUCAAUUUGGGAUGACAAUAAGACGAUUUUUUUUUUACCUAUCUCUAAUAAGACAAAUUUGAAAUUUAAAUAAAUCAAUUAGGAGUGGAUUUGAGAAUUUUUUUUAAAAAAACCUAAGGCAAGUUUGGGAUGAGUUUGAGUAUUACCUAGUCCUGCCAACCCUACCUUGAUUAUACAUAAAAUUAAUUUAAUUUAACUUUUAUUUUCCUAUUUUUAAUAAAAUAAGUUAUAAAAAAUUAUAAUAUUUUAAUCAUUUAUAAAAUAUGUUUAUUUUGAUAUAAUUUAAUUUUUUUAAAAAAAUUAUUAUUAUCAUUUUUUUUUAAGUUAAAGCCAAGGUAUAGAAAAUUUGUAUACCCAUCCUGCCCUACCUCAUCCCAUUUAAUUUUUUUAAUAGGACGACUGACGAGUAUGAAAAUUAUUUUGAAUAAAUGAAAUAGGAGUGGAAUGAGUGCAACCCAUCCCCAACUUGCACUGUUGUCUUCUCCAACGUCAAGAUUAAUUUAAUAAAAGAUUAGGUAAGGGAAUCUAGUUUCAACUUAUUAAAUUCAAUUAAUUUAAAAGGUUAGUCAAGCAAAUCCACUUGCAAAAAUUUAAAAUCGAAAUCCACUUCAAAAUAAUAAUGAUGAGCCAUUUUUUUUCUUCUUGCAUUGAAUUUAUUGCUAAUUGGACUUAAAUAUAAAUAAAACUAAUUAAAAUUUAAAUACCACUCAAUAAAUAAUAUAAUAAAAUAUAAUUAUCUAAUUAAAAUUAAUAAAUACUUAAAUUAGGUUGGAGUUAUUUGGCCUCACCCAAAGUUCAAUUCGAGGUGGAUUUUUUAAUCUACGCAUAAUUUAAAUUGUAAAAGAGGCCAUCCAAGUCUUUUCAAAUUCAUUUAAAUUGUAAAAGAGGUCAUCCAAGUCUUUUCAAAUUCUUAUUGAGUUUGAAUUUCGUUAUGUUGAAACUUCCCAAAUUUGAUUACUAAUUUAAUCCAUGAUAAAUUAAAGUGAUGGUUUAAAAGAAUGAAAUAAAAUUUGAACAUUUGUCGAGAGAUGGACCGUCUUUAGUAUUAGUAAUUGGCUUCUGAUAGAUUUGCAAGGAUGUAGCACAACUACAAGGCUUGGUGCGAUGGGGAGUGUCUGGUGGUCAAGAGUGCAUACAUGAUCCCAACUUACUGUUUAAACUAGGCAAAAAAGUUGUCAUAGGAUGAUAUCUAACUGUAAAUUUACCAACAACAAAUAAUUGAUUUCGAAAUUAGGACUCCCAAGGGUGUUCUCGUUGAGUGGUUAUGCAAUAAAUGAGACACCAAAUUCAUUCUAUGGUUUAAAACAUUUGAUUCAAGAGAUGAUCAUUUAUUAUAAUCUUCAAAUGUUGAUACAAUCAAGUUAUAAACAUUUUACCAAGAUACCUAUUAACUUCGGGAAUCUAAUUAACCUUUGAUAUCUUGAUAUUAUUGUUACAAGUCUAUUAGAAGAAAUGUCUUUAGAAAUUGACAAACUAAAAGAUUUGUAAAUACCGUCUAAUAUCAAUCCCGGAUUGGAUGGGGAGAAAGGUUCAUGAUAUAUGUAGUGAGAUUCUCUUAAUUAUUAUGUUGAUGAAUUUUGAGCCGAGUGUUUUGCCCUAGAGACACCAUCUGAAUGGGCCCUUUUGUCCCAAAGACAACAUCUACAUGGAAAGGAGCAGUCGUUAAUUCAAGGAAAAAUCUUUCCACCUGAAUCUAAACUUUUCCAGAUGCUCGCUCUACAGCAGGUUUGGAUAGCCCAACUGAUUGAGUAGCCUAUCCCAAGAAGUCAAAAUAUGAAGUUUUGUUGAUUUGAAUCCAUUAUUUGGUCCUAAGUCGCUGAAUCUUUCUGAAUUUUCCACAGUAAUCAUUCCAAAUAUCCCAAAAUUUUAGUUCAUUUGGCUGAACUGCUAGGGAGUGAUAAUGACAAAAAACUUUAAUUUGAUUUAGGAGGGUCACCUGUAUCUCAAUUCAUAGAUUCUAAAGAAUGGAUUACUUAACAAGAAGCAAACCCAUCAGAAAUGCUUAACCCUCGAAUCUUACUACGAGAAAAUGGAACAUAAACAGCAAUGACCAAACGCUCAUUUUCAGAUAAUCAACGAAGCUAAAACCGAAGAAAAAUCAAACCAAUUCUUGAAAAAACAAAGCAAUAAGAGCUCUUCAAACUAUCAAAUUUCUAUAAACGCAGUAAAAAUAAAUAAAAAAAAUCCACAACUGCAACUAACUAGCUGAAAAGAAUAGUCCUUGAAAUUACCCUUUCAAUGGAUGACUCAGAGGAACGAACAAACCGGACAACUGGGCUGGCCUUGGGGUCAGGGAGGGCAUAGUUGAAGGUGGAAUUGAGGGGUCUAGAGGACUCAACCGGGGGCUUUGAUGGUGGGUUCGAAGACAAGAUGGUUUCAGUAGGAGGAGAUGGUGGCGGCGGCGGCGGUGAUGAUUCAUGAGAUGAUGAGCUCACGGAAGCGAGACAAGGCGAAAAUCGCCUGUGAUUUGUGGGAGGACGAAGACGAGACAGGGAGAGCGACAGUGGAGUGUAGGACAUUGCAGCGAAGAGGGCCAUCGCAGAGGGAACUGAGAGAGGAAAGGACAAAACAAAAUGAAGAAAGCGUGGUGUGAGCCUGUGAGGAGUCUGAGGACUGACAUAGUGACAUAUGAGGUCAAUGUUUUGUGUGUGUGGAGCCCACGGUUGCUCAUCACGCGGGUAAAUUAACGGUCUGGUUUAAUCGCAUAGCUCACAAUUCUGAGUCCGAAAAUCAUUUUAAAUACUUUCUUAUUUAUUAUGCUCGUAUAUAAAAAACAAAAUAUAUCAAUUAUAAAUUUCACAAAUUAAUUUUUUUAACCGUUGAUUUGGUUAAUAAAUAUAUAUAAUAAAAUUAUACUCUUUCUCGUAAUUAUUUCCAUAUAUAUAUAUAUAUUUCUUGGGUCAGAUUUUCUUAAGAUUAAUUUUGAUGAUUAUGGAGCAAAAAAUUAAAUUUUAGGAGGAUUUAUUCUCAGUAGAAAGGAUUACUUGGAGGAUAAUGUUGAAGGUCUAGGAGCCGAAUAAUCUAAGUAUGAGGAGUUUAAGGUUAUGUUUAGUUCCUUAAAGUUAUUAAGGAAAAAAUAAAUAAAUAUUAAGUAAAUAAAAAAUAUUAAAAAAAAUAAAUUUCUUGUAUUUAAUUUUAUAAUAAAAAAAUCAAACAUAAUUAAAAUGGUAAAAAAUUUAUAUAUUUUUAAAUUGUUAAUCCUUAUAUAAUAAAUGAAAAUAAUUAAAAAAAAUUAUUUUAUUUUAUUUUAUUUACUUUCCAUCACUUUUUUCUUUGAAAUAGUGAAUGAAAAAAUAAAAUUAAAGUUAAUAAAUUAAAUUAAUUUAAUUUGUUAUUUCAAACUUAUUUUAAAUUUUUAUAUAAAGAUAAAAUAAUUUAAAAAUGUAUAGAUUUUUAACCAAUUUUAAUUAUAUUUGAUUUUUUUUUAUUUUUCAUAUUAUAACAUAAUAUGAAAAAAUCACUUUCCUCGUUAUUUUUUUCUUUAUUACUUUUUGAAACAAAUAUAACCUAAGAGUAUGUUUGGUUUCUGAAAAUUUAAGAGAAAAUGUUAAGGAAAGAUAAAACAAAAGAAAAUAAAAAAAUAAAUUCAAAGUCAAUAAUUAUUUUAUAUAUUUUUUAAAAUUCAUUUAACUUAUUUUCCUCUAUUAUGUAAAGAUUAAAUAAAUUUAAAAUACAUCAACUUUUAACUAAUUUAAGUAAUACUUGAUUUUCUUUCGUAUUUUCUAUAUUAAAAUUAAAUAGAAUAAAAUCAUUUUUCUCAACAUUUUUUUUGCCUUAGCAUUUUCCUAAAAUCAAAUAAAACAUAAAAGUUUUGAAUUGAAAGCGUAUGUCAUUGUAUAAUUUUAUUGAUUGGUUGGAUCCUUACUAGGGAAUGAAGUCGUUUUUUGUUUUUUGUAUAUAUUUUGUGUGCUUUUUCUAUGCUAUUGAUAUGCGCUUGGAGAUUUUAAUAAUAUAUAUAUAUAUAUAUAUAUAUAUAUAUAUAUAUAUAUAUAUAUAUAUAUAUAUAUAUAUUUAUAUAUUUUUCUUAACUUCUUAUUUUUAUUUUUAAUGUGAAAGCACUUUUAGAUUUAGCAUGCCCAUAUUAUUAGUUGUAAACAAAUGAUAGAAUUGAAAAGAAUGGUUUGGGCUUUGUUCUCAGAAGAAACAAUGAUGGUAUUAUAAGUAGAGAAAAGGCUACAAAUUAUAGAUGGGAGAUCCUCUCAAUUAGAAGAUGUUAUGAGAGGAAGGUAAAAGAAAGAAUGACAAUAACAAAAAAUAGACACCAACCCAAGGCCCACAGCACAAAUAUCCAAGUCCACCACUGAAACACAAAACAAGGGUGAAGGUGAAGACAAGAUGGAAGGCAUUUGGCUUCAAGGGGAGAUAUGAUCUAUUGGCGAACCUAUCAGCUUCCUGAUCGGUUGCUCUAGACUUUCAACAGAAGGAGCAUCUCAUGUCUCUAGACAGCUUCUCUAUCCUUUUCAACCAAUGGUUAUGUCUCCAUAAACAACCCUUCUUUUAUUUGUGGCAGGUCGAUUUUACAUCUCAAACUUGCAUGGCAUAUUGCUGUUGAAUUGAAACCCACUAAAUUUAUUUUGGCAUUAUGGUCAUCCCCCUCUUAUGUGCUAACUUAUUUCAUUUUCUGCCAGGUUUAGCCCUGAAGCUCUAAACUGGCUGUUCAUCAAGGGAUUGGUUGGCUGGUUUUUGCAAGUCUCACUGCUGAAAGUAUCAUUGCUUUCAUUGGAUAGUGGGGAGGCACCUUUUCUGGACAUUGUGGCAUAGCAGCGUACACUUUCACAGGGAUGUGCUUGGCUGUCCUUGGGAGGGAUCAUGUGGAGCAUCUCAUAUUAUUUCUUGAUGCCCUGGGCAUGCCUAUGCAUGGGAAUAUUCUUGGUAAAGACCAUGAAGAGAAUCCUCUUUGCAGAGGUGAGGAGUUAUGUUUCCAGCAAGCAUCACUAUCUCUUGCUCCUUAUUGCUUUGGCUCAGUUCCCACUUUUCAUAUGGCUUGGCAACAUUAGCCUUCAUUAGCUUUUCUGAACUUCAUCUUUUGAUAAAUGUAUCCGGAAACAAUUUGCUUCUGUGGAAGUCUUAAAAUGUUGUAGUUUUGGUCUAUGAUCUCGGCCAAGUGACCAUUCUCCUGGACUAGAAAUAUUCUUUAAACUUAUGCUAAAGCUUAAAUAUGAUUCAAUUGUUCUCCUAGUUAAAACAGAAACCAAGCACUUGGCUUCCUUGUUCAGAAUUAUUUAUCCUUUUUUUCCCAAUUGAUUGGAAAUGAACUAGUUUAGCACUUGUACUUUGACAUGUUCACUUCAAGCAACUGUAGUUAAUAAAACAAUUGAGCAUGAACUGGAGUUGCCGAUGGAAUCCUGAAAGUGGAUGACAUAAAUUACUUGGUGCCUUCUUCUGGUACAUGAUACUCCUGAACUGAAUGUCAGCAUGGUAUUCAUGAAUCAAGUUUCAAAACAAUUGAGCUCAUAUAGAUCUUGCAUAACUGGAAAUCAAAGUGAAUCUCAUGUUGUUUUUGAUGGGUUUAGAAUAAAAUCAAUGACAUCACUAUGGCCUUUGUCAAUGACUUGGUUUUAAACUCUGGUUCAAAACAUCCACUGCAAUGGGAAAAUGACCUUAACAUCCAGUGAUGACUUCGUUUUAGACUCUGGUUCAAAACAUCCACUGCUAUGAGAUAAUGGCCAUAACAUCUGAUGGACCUCAUUUUCCCAGACACACGGAGAUGGAUUAGGUAGGGGUGACUCUGAAUCACUUGCAUUGAGUCUACUUCGUACAAAGUCCCUGAGGUCAGUUGAAGGUAGUCUGGUGAUCAGCUUGAUAAUUCCAAAUACUUGACGCGAGGCUAGAUGCUUGAGGGUAAAUCAAGAGGCACAGCAGUUGUAAAUCGUCUCCCCAUAUGGCAAAACCUAUUCUGUCACAAUGAUAAAAAGGUGUUCAAUUAUGGCAGGUAAUGGAGCUUCAGGCAAUAGGAUGUGAGACAGUGAGAGGUCAAGAUAGAGCAACAUACAUUUCUUGCCCAUGGAAUGAUGCCCAUCCAAUAUAUACAGACUGCAAUUUUUAGCAUAUUGAAGAAAGUUGGCCUCUCAUUAAGGCACUAAGAUCACAUUUAGAAAUCUCAAAGAAUUCUGAGAAUGUGUCGAUGCCUUGCAUCAUUCCAUUUAGAAAUCUGAGUUCCAGAAAGGUGUUAAUGCCGAUGUUCCGAAAUUUUGAGACCGUGUUGCAAUCUAUUCUCCUGCCACAGUAACAAGAUUUCUUUACAAUGAACAGUCAUGAUAAUUUCACAUCUGCUAAUGCUAGCAUAAGCCACAUUGAGAAAACAAUUGAUCCUUGGAUUAUUACCAAUCUCUAAGGAAUUGAAAAAGGCCAGAUGGUCAAGCUCCAAAGUUCUUGACGACAUUCCCAGUUCACCAAUCAACGAUAGUAUCAUACGUGAAACAGAAGACACAAAGUCUGGAACAUUCAAAAUCAAAAGCAUCUGUUUUGAUUAUUUAGCAAGAAAAAUAACAUAAUGGAUCUUAUUUGUAUGUAUAUCAAGUUUAACAACACGCCAUUGCAUGACUCCUUAAUUGGCUUCCAAUAUUCAGAUAAUUCAAAGGCACCAUUAUGUUUAAUUCCGAUAUAAAAGACUGUCAAAGAAGGGGGAUAUAAAUUUGUACGAGAGUUAACAAACCUCUGGUUUUUUGUCAGCAAAAUCUCAUUAACUGGAUUCCUGAAAAACGUAGUAAAAAUAAGUAAACGCUCAUUAGAGUUAAAUUCCAAAUCCAAAGUCAAUAGAAGGUUGUUUAUUGUAGAACCAAACACAAUUACUAAACCUUAUAAUGCAAGAACACAAAAUUGUCCAGAAACACAUUUUCCAUCUUAUCAGAUCCAAUUUAUGGCCUUCCUGCAUUACUGCAUUUUAUAUUUGAAAGGUAAAUCAGACAUUUUUUAUGUGAGUAAUAAGAGAGUAAAUGGCAUAAAAGGCAAACCAUACAAAUGAAGAAGUUGUAAACAUAUAAGAGUGCUUACUGAUCACUGUUGAAUGAUAUUUAAUUGUCUCUCUUUCAAUCUGCAAGAGUUUAUACUCAGUGAAUCACAGUAUGCUACCAAGAAUAAUGCCUCAUUUCCUCGUUGUUGGAAAAAAAUGUAGUGAAAAACAUGUAAGUUGCCAAUAGAAAUAUACUAAUUUAAAAAUAAAGCAUUUCAAAAUACAUAAGGUUUGUACAAGUUGUAACUGACCUGAAAAAAAUCUGUAUGAUAAAGCUCAUUUUAAUGAAUCCUAACAAUGGUUAAAAAGACAUCCAAAAGGAGGAAAGCUGGAUCAGCAUUGCGCAUCCACCUAAAAGGAGUAACAUGAAAUGCAUCAAAAUAAAAUGAGAUGAAAAGAAAAUAGUAGUGCUCAUAAAAAUCCUUUCUGCAAAAUAAUGCAUAAAGACGAGCAAUUCAUCAAUGUAAAACAAAUACAAACUGUUCUUUAUAUAGGUCAUAGUUCCAUCAGAGAGCAAUUUCAAACCAUCACAACAACUGAGCACAAGACUUAAUAACAUGGAUGACAAACCGAUCCUCAGAAGGAACAUAAAGAAAUGUGUGAUUCUCGACUCUCCAAGAGAUGUGUGACUAUUCAGUCUUACUGGCAGCUUCUCCAAGAUAGCACAAAAAAUAGCUUCAUGUCUACUGAAGACAGGUGAACUAAGCAGUGUCCAAGGAUCGGUGCCAAAAUCCUCUCUGUAAGCUAGUGCUUAGGGAACACCUCAAGUCAUAAACAUAGAAAAUUUAGAAAAAAAGUUAGCAAAUAUAGGAAUCUAAAAAAACCAAUAAAAAUGGAAAAUAAAAAUUGUAACUUACCAUGAUCUUGCUAAGCUGUUGUUUAUCCUCUUUCUACACUCUUAACAUCAACAAUAGAAACAAAAACAACAAGUGGCAAUAGGAAUUUGCCACAGUCACUAUAGACAUGGAGCCUCCAAAUAUAAAACCCGAAUCCCCUUCAACAAGAAGAAAAAUACUUAUACUCUGACACCUGGGACAUGCACCUUUUAUACCUGCAAACUCCAAAAGAAGAGAUACGGUUUCAUCAAAUUAAAAAUUUGAGAAACUAAAGCAAAACCGUUUUGUUUCUGCUCAAAUUUGUACAACUAGGCAUAUGUAAAUAUGACAGUAGAUCACAUUUUGGAAACCAAGUGGGAUAUAUUAGAAUAGAUACAAGCUGCUGUUGUUGCUAUGUAAUAAUUCCAUUAGGUAGUUCUGGGCUAUCACAGUCACAGAGAAAAGACCACUUGGGAUAAAUUGAAAACCAGUUCUUGUGAAAGACAAGUUUCAUGCACUGAAUGGUUCCCAACUUUCAAAGGAAAUAAAAGAUCAUACAACCUUAUGAGCGGCUUCCCCAGGAGGGCAAGAAAAGAGGUUCUUAUUUAUUAAAGAUGCAAAUGAAAUCUUGAUUCAGAGGACCUCUGUAAAGCACUGAAGAAUCUAUCACAAGUCAUAAAAGGAAAAAAAAUUUACAAAGAUAGUCCUUAGAACACAAUAAUAUAUAGAAUCAACUAUAUAAAUGAAAGGCACGCACCACAAUUUGGCUAGAUUGUAUUUUAUCCUCUUUUUGUUGUACUAAAAAAUGGUAAUAAAGUGCCAAUGAGCCUUUGAUAUAGGAUGAACAUUCCAAUCAGUCAGCACAAUGAAAAGACCACAUGACCUCCUGUGAUACUUUGGACCCAUCCUUUUGAUACCUGCAUCAUCAAUGUAAACAAUUUGGUACAUAAAACUGUAAGACUUAUUAUUACCGUUCAGAGGUAGCCGAGUUAAAUGACAACAACUUGCAAAAAUAUAUGUAUGGGAAAUAGAAAGUGAUAUUGAGGAGAGAAAGAGGAAGAAUUGCAUGUUGGGAAUGAGCAUCCAGUGGACAAGAAGAAAAUUCAAGAAAAUUAGUCAUCAAAAUAGAUAAAUAAAUAAACAAAAUAUAUAGAUGACGGUGACUCACUG
rnacentral:lncRNA from 1 species